rnacentral:rRNA from 1 species
AUUGAACGCUGGCGGCAGGCCUAACACAUGCAAGUCGAACGAGUGGAGGACGGGUGAGUAAGGUCGGGGAAACUGCCCGAUGGAGGGGGCUAACUACUGGAAACAGUAGCUAAUACCGCAUACCAUCGGAUGUGCCCAGAGGGGAUUAGCUAGUAGGGGGGGUAACGGGUCACCGAGUCGACGGUCCCUAGCUGGGCUGCGAGGAUGACCCGCCACACGGGUGCUGCGACAGGGUCCAGACUCCUGCGGGAGGGUGCAGUGGGGAAUAAUGCACAAUGGGCGCAAGCCUGGUGCAGCCAAGGCGCGUGUAUUGAGAAGGCCUUCGGGUUAUAAAGUACUUUCAGCGAUGGGGCGUGACUCGCAGAAGGAGCACCGGGUAACUCCUGGGCAGCAGCCGGGGUAAUUC